UACGGAGGAUGCGAGCGUUAUCCGGAUUUAUUGGGUUUAAAGGGUGCGUAGGUUGUUUUUUAAGUCAGCGGUGAAAGUUUGUGGCUCAACCAUAAAAUUGCCGUUGAAACUGGAAGACUUGAGUGUGUUUGAGGUAGGCGGAAUGCGUGGUGUAGCGGUGAAAUGCAUAGAUAUCACGCAGAACUCCGAUUGCGAAGGCAGCUCACUGGACGACAACUGACGCUGAGGUGCGAAAGCGUGGGUAGCAAACAGG
rnacentral:rRNA from 1 species